UCAGACGAUGCGUCAUGCAUAUCAAUAAGCGGAGGAAAAGAAACUAACAAGGAUUCCCCUAGUAACGGCGAGUGAAGCGGGAAGAGCUCAAAUUUGAAAUCUUAAAGGGUUUCCCUUUACGAAUUGUAGUUUAAAGAAGUGUUUUCUGUUGAGGUUUUGGUAAAAGUUCUUUGGAAUAGGACAUCAUAGAGGGUGAGAAUCCCGUAUUUGACCUUUACUUUCAACUUUGUGAUACACUUUCAAAGAGUCGGAUUGUUUGGGAAUGCAGUCCAAAAUGGGUGGUAAAUUUCAUCUAAAGCUAAAUAUUGGCGAGAGACCGAUAGCGAACAAGUACCGUGAGGGAAAGACGAAAAGAACUUUGAAAAGAGGGUUAAACAGUACGUGAAAUUGUCAAAAGGGAAGCGUUUGACACCAGUGUUGUUUUUCUGAAAAUCAAUUAAAGAACUGUUUAUGCUAAGCUGUUUAGACUUUAUCAGCUAUCUGUUUAGUUUUGAGCUUUUCUUUAAUGCACUUUUCAGUUAACAAGUCAACAUCAAUUUCUUUUGCUGUAAAAAAGCUUGAGGAAGGUGGCUUGAGAUUCGUCUUAAGUGUUUAUAGCCUCUUGCCUAUGCAGUCGGAGAGAUUGAGGUCUGCAGCGUAGAUCCUUCGGGGCUAAAUGCAUUUGUGCUAAGUUAUAGCAUUUUAUAGACAACUUGUUGACUAUGAUUUGUCCUGUAGCUUACUCGCUUAUGUUAUUUUACCUACGCUUAGGAUGUUGACACACGCGCGUGCUCG
rnacentral:rRNA from 1 species